CAGCCGCCACGGGAAUACGUAGGGUGCAAGCGUUGUCCGGAAUUAUUGGGCGUAAAGAGCUCGUAGGCGGUUUGUCGCGUCUGCUGUGAAAUCCCGAGGCUCAACCUCGGGCUUGCAGUGGGUACGGGCAGACUAGAGUGCGGUAGGGGAGAUUGGAAUUCCUGGUGUAGCGGUGGAAUGCGCAGAUAUCAGGAGGAACACCGAUGGCGAAGGCAGAUCUCUGGGCCGUAACUGACGCUGAGGAGCGAAAGCGUGGGGAGCGAACAGGAUUAGAUACCCGCGUAGUCCCUGUCUCUUAUAC
rnacentral:rRNA from 1 species